GAUGAACGCUGACAGAAUGCUUAACACAUGCAAGUCUACCUGAACUUCGGUUUGGGUGGCGGACGGGUGAGUAACGCGUAAAGAACUUGCCUCACAGAUAGGGACAACAUUUGGUAACGAAUGCUAAUACCUGAUAUUAUGAUUUUAGGGCAUCCUAGAAUUAUGAAAGCUAUAUGCACUGUGAGAGAGCUUUGCGUCCCAUUAGCUAGUUGGAGAGGUAACGGCUCACCAAGGCGAUGAUGGGUAGCCGGCCUGAGAGGGUGAUCGGCCACAAGGGGACUGAGACACGGCCCUUACUCCUACGGGAGGCAGCAGUGGGGAAUAUUGGACAAUGGACCAAGAGUCUGAUCCAGCAAUUCUGUGUGCACGAUGAAGUUUUUCGGAAUGUAAAGUGCUUUCAGUUGGGAAGAAAAAAAUGACGGUACCAACAGAAGAAGUGACGGCUAAAUACGUG
rnacentral:rRNA from 1 species